rnacentral:lncRNA from 1 species
AAGGCCAGGACCCAAAACCUAACAAGUGUCUGCAGACCUGCAACUAAAUUCCUCAAGAACAGAUCCCAGCCUGUCAUACUACUACCAUCACUAUAUUCAGCAAAAGUCCCAUGAGAAGUCUUGGCAGGUAGGUAAAAUAGCCUUCUUCGAACACAAGAAACCAGUCCACCAGGCCAGCCCACAUAGCUUUAAAACCUCUACUGAUUUUGCUUACUCACAGCAGUCUCCUUUUCUAUGGCAGAUCCAAUCCU